rnacentral:tRNA from 2 species
GGGGGAGUAGCUCAUUGGGAGAGCACUACGCUGAAGACGUAGGUGUAGCGUGUUCGAUUCACGCCUUCCCCA